rnacentral:rRNA from 1 species
AAUAGAUACCCCGGUAGUCCAUGCCGUAAACGUUGGGAACUAGAUGUGGGGACCAUUCCACGGUCUCCGUGUCGCAGCUAACGCAUUAAGUUCCCCGCCUGGGGAGUACGGCCGCAAGGCUAAAACUCAAAGGAAUUGACGGGGGCCCGCACAAGCGGCGGAGCAUGCGGAUUAAUUCGAUGCAACGCGAAGAACCUUACCAAGGCUUGACAUAUACCGGAAAGGUCUGGAAACAGUCCCCCCGCAAGGUCGGUAUACAGGUGGUGCAUGGUUGUCGUCAGCUCGUGUCGUGAGAUGUUGGGUUAAGUCCCGCAACGAGCGCAACCCUCGUCUUAUGUUGCCAGCGGUUCGGCCGGGGACUCAUAAGAGACUGCCGGGGUCAACUCGGAGGAAGGUGGGGAUGAGGUCAAAUCAUCAUGCCCCUUAUGUCUUGGGCUUCACGCAUGCUACAAUGGCCGGUACAAAGGGCUGCAAUACCGCGAGGUGGAGCGAAUCCCAAAAGCCGGUCUCAGUUCGGAUUGAGGUCUGCAACUGACCCCAUGAAGUCGGU